CUUAUUUUUUAGAGAGACAGAGCGUGAGCGGGGGAGGGACAGACAGAGAGGGAGACACAGAAUCCGAAGCAGGCUCCAGGCGCCGAGCUGCCAGCACAGAACCCGACACGGGGCUCAAACUCACGGACCGCGAGAUCAUGACCUGAGCCGAAGUCGGACGCUCAACCGACUCAGCCACCCAGGCGCCCCUAACGUAUCUUUUGUAAGGGGCACAAUUCAACCCAGAGCACCACUCUUCUCUCUAAAGUAACAGCCCUGCUCACGAGGCCCCCGGGUAGCAAGGGCCCAGAGCGGUCUGUUCCAGACCUGAGAACAACACAGUCCUUGCAGGAGGGCUCCUUGAACAGACUCUGAAUCACAUGCCCCUCCGGGGAUCCACCGACAGGGCUCCACUGUGCUGAUCCAAAGACCCCCACCCCCCGCCCCAGUGAAAGGAGGCCAUGCUCGUGAGCCAGACCCUCAUGAAGCGCCUCCUGGGUCCUCACAGUCGCUCUGCCUCAGACCCCAGAGACCCUCCUGGCACAGAGUAGUGGGUGCUUAGGAAAUCAUGUUGGAGCUGAUCCAACUACCUCAUUUGACAGGUGGGGAAUGAGUCCUUUCCACUCUGGUCUAUAGGCUCUUGGGGGCUCAGUUUCGUCAUCUGCAAAAUGGGGACAAGGAGGGGAGAGAGGUCAGGAGCACUUGACUCCACACUGGGCUCUAUGGAGCCCUGGCUUCAGGGCCCUGGAAGGAGGAGAACAACAUUCUCUAUACCUUGUAGACUGAGCUGUGAGUAAAGUAUCGAGUUUAUGCAGUUUAGAGAGGCAUGAAACCCACUGGGCUCACUCACCCGUAAGUAACUUCCGCUCUCACAUGCUACCAUUUGGGAGGAAAGAGACAUUCAGAGCCACUAAAACAUUUCACAGAGAGAGCUAUUGCAAUGUGUACAGAGGUAGAAAGUGUCCUGGUGACAUCAGGCUCUCUGGGCCACCUGACUUGGUUAGAAACCCAACGCAAGUCACUUAACCUCCUUGGUGACUCAGUUUCUUCACCUGAGAAAUGGGAAUGAUCAUGACACCUUCUUCAGAGGGUUACUGUGAUCAUUAAUUUGCACGGAGAAUGAGUCAGACAGUAAGUGCUGAGGGUGUUCUAUUAUUCACACCCAUCAGAGAGUGUCCUUGACAACUGUCUGGGUCUGUGUGAUCUCUCCCACCACGGUCACAGGAUGGCUCAUCGUAGAUGCUUAAAUCAAUGAAUGAAUCACCGAAACUAGCCCAUUUAAUCAUUGGCAAGUUUCUCCUUUUUGCCUGAAAAGACAUCUCUCUCAUUCUGCCCUGGAGCUGUCACACCCCUCAUUUAUUUCUGGCUCAAACCUACAGACUUAAAAUAUAUGUGCUGCCGUGCAUUUUCAGCCAUCUGUCUUGUACCUCCAUUUCUGUGAGCAUAUAUUAGCUUUCCUGGCGUAGCGAGCACACAAAACGCAAUAAAUUACCGCUUUCUUAAGACUCUCGCUAAUUGAUCACAGCCUGGCAUGGUUCUUUAACUGCCCCUGGAUUAUAGAUGAGCUUUUCAGCCCUGAAAUUCAGGGCCAAGCUCUGGGAGGAAGGUGUAGUGGAUGGGGGAGGGGACAAAGAAACCAAAAUGUAUCUUGUGAGAAGAAGGUUCCAUUUUAAGAUUCAGACUGAAAGAAUCACAGAAUCCGGAAGAUGAUUUCAUCUGUGUCCUUCAUUUUAUAGAUAAAGAGACAAAAGCCCAAGGUAAGGAAUUAGGUCCCAGCCCCAGGGCCAAUCAGUAGCAACCUGGACCCAGACCCUGUCUCCUGCCCGCUCUCCAGUUUUGUUUUGUUUUGUUUUGUUUUUUUCAAUCGUACCCUUCAACCCAAAGCCUCUUGAGUGUCUGCCAUGGCUAAAUCCACUUACUAGCUGUGUGGCUUUGAGCAAGUUGCUUAACCUCUCUGACCCUCUAUGCAUCUUCACCGAUAUACAGGGAAAGCAAAGUACCUGUCCCAUAUCGUGGCUCAAAGGGUUUAGGGGAACAGUGCCUGGAUCUGAGAUGUGUGUGUGUGUGUGUGUGUGUGUGUGUGUAGUUAUGUGGUUGUGUGUAUGUGUGCAUGUAACACCUGGAAGUUUUGAUUUCCAAGGCUGUUAACAUGAAGAGGAAACAUACCAGCUCUGCUCACUGGGGAGAUUCGAGGCCAGUCUCCUCUGUAUCUGUAGCUGUCUGUUUCAGGAAGAGGGAUUUUCAAUGAUGACUCUAAUCCAGGGUGUCUCAACUUGGCACCAUUGACAUUUCAGGCCGGAUAAUUCCUUGUGGUGACAGGCUGUCCUGUACCUUGUAUGGUAUUUAGCAUCCCCAGCCUCCCUCACUCAAUACCAGAAGCACCUCCAUGGUUGGGACAACCAAAAACGUCUCCAGACAUUGGCCAGGGUCCCCUGGGGUGGGGGUGGGGGGCAAAAUCACCCUCUGCCGAGAAUCACUGUUGGACUCCACUAAAACGGGGGUUAUUACUAACAGCACCUGAAGGGAAGAGUCAAUCCCUUCCCCAGACUUGUCCUUGAUCGACGCAGGACCCCUCUGCCCACAGACACUGCCCCACUGAAGCCCGUUGAGGCAGACCAUGGGUGCACCAUGGGAACAGAGCAUGGCUGGUGUUUCUGUUACCAAGGUGACCCGAAAGGCUGACAAGCCUCUUUCCCAUAUUCACGCCAGCAGGGCCGUGGCCUGCCAUCCCCCCAAGUUGUAGGUGCAGGACGAUCCCUAGAAGGGCUUGCCCAGCUCUGUCUCUAGGUGCCACUUCCUGAACUCAGCGAGGACUCUUCCCUCCUGUCAGCCUCCUGUUCUGCCAUCUUGUAGACCCUCAGCUGAAGUCCUUCUCUUGAACCAGCCCCUUCCAAAGGACACGCCGGUCCCAGUAUCUUGUCAGGUGGAGCCCUCUCCGCAUUCCUUGAAGCCCAUAGCCAAAGGACUUCCAGACCCUGUGGCCAGCUCAGGUUUGGGGGACCCUCCCCCCAACCCAUCUCUGGGGGCUAAGUCCCAGCAAGUGUGGAAGAGGGCACUGAUUUAUUCUCUGGUGUUGCCUGUCCUUAGACAGCUCUACCUAGGUAAGCCACUUAUGGUGUGCCUCCGGGCAGGUGACAACCUCCCACAGCUUCCGCUUCCCCAUUCGUGUGAUGGAGCUCACAAUAGCAUUGACACAAGUAUAGGAGUGUGUCAGGAUUAAAUAAGGCCACACAUGCAGACUGCCCAGCUAACUCCCCGACAUAAAGUUGGCACUUAUUAAGUGACCUCCAACACUGUUUAAUGGGUUGUGCUAGAAGAAUCCACAUUGCAGCUGAAUAGGUCCCAGGCAAACAACCCCAGAGGAGGUGGUUUCCAGGCACCGGCCCCUGAAAGAGGAGGGGUGGCCACUUCAGAGAGCAUAUGGGGACCCUUCGUCAUAAGAUGCCUCCUAGUUCCCACGGAAAUUCACCGUGGGACUGUGUAUGGGCUGCUGUGGUUGAGUUGGGUGCUGUGGUCUGGACCUCGUUUCAUAGUCCUUGGUCCCAGAGCCCUGAGAUAUCAUUCCCACAUUUCAGUACCACAGAGGACAUUUCAGAGACGCGAGUCCUGACUUCUCUCUGAAUGGGGGUGGGGGAGGGCUCUUGGAAUUGCACCCUGACCCAGGCUCCACGUAGGAUGCCGGACAAUUCUUUAAUUUGGGAAGAAGCAGCUCAGUGGAAUGGGAGAACGCAUCCUUUGAAAGGAAAUCAGCUGAGGUUUUAAUUCCAUCUCUCGCAUUCAUUAACGGCCUGCCUUCAAGCAAGUUUUUUUUUUCUCAGUUUCCCCACCUAUACAAUGAGUACAGUUACAUCUCCUUCAUAGUAUGGAGAUUCAAGUCGAUGUGUGUUAAACAUCUGGCAUAUUCUAGAUGUUAUGGUUAUUUUUGCUUUGGGAACAAUAAGUCUCUGAGAAGAAAAAAAAAUUCAAAAUGACUUAAGAGGCAGCAAUAUUCUUCCUUCAUGAGAUGUCCUGACCCUGGAAAACAAAGUCAUAAAUUCUGGACUCAAGACAUUUUGUGCACCACGACAUUUGCAUUCUAGACAUGUGUGUGUGCAUUCCAGGGGCCUUUAACAUUCCAGAUUCAAAAUAUUAUCUUUUUAAUGGACUGUCUUGUUGAGUUUGUUGGAAUUAGCGACCCAAAGAAAAUAUUAAGUGGCCGGAUUCUUGAAUGGGGUCCAUGGGUCUGGCUACAUCCUGGGGAAUUGACAAGAUUAUUUACCAGUAAAGAUGGAAGUAAGUCAUUUUCUAAAACAGACUCCUCCAGCCUCGUGAUCUGGAAGAGGGUGCAUGCUGUGUGUCCUCUUUAGCACUGAUUCAACAAAUAUUUACCUAUUGCCUUCUAUGCCCCAGAUCCCCUUCUAGAUCCUAGAGAUGGAGAAACCGGCAAGACAGAGAGGGUCUAUCCUCUUUAUUAACACUACUGUCAGGCGGUGGAACUGAUGGAGGUCUAAGGAUGAGGUGCAAAGAGCAGACAACAUGCACAUCGUAAGCGGAGUAAUUCAGAAAAUGGCCCUGGGAAGGAGAAAGGGAAAAGGCUCGACAUGUUUGAGGAUAAAGAAGGAGGCCAGUAAAAUUAAAACUAGAAUUACCCUAUGACCCAGCAAUAGCACGACUAGGAAUUUAUCCAGGAUAUAGGAGUGCUGAUUGGUAGGGGCACCUGUACCCCAAUGUUUAUAGCAGCGCUAUCAACAAUAUCCAAAUUAUGGAAAGAGCCUAGAUGUCCAUCAACUGAUGAAUGGAUAAAGAAGAUGUGAGAUAUAUAUAUACUGGAAUACUACUCGGAGAUGAAAAGGAAUGAAAUCUUGCCAUUUGCAACAACAUGGGUGGAACUGGAGGGUAUUAUGCAAAGUGAAAUAAGUCAGCAAAAGACAGCAUGUUUUCACUCAUGUGGAAUUUGAGAAACUUAACAGAAGAUCAUAGGGGAAGGUAAGGAAAAGUAAGUUACAGAGAGGGAGACAAACCAUAAGAGACUCUUAAAUACAGAGAACAAACUGCAGGUUGAUGGGGGUGAGGGGUGGGGGGGGCAGGGAAAAUAGGUGAUGGGCAUUGAGGAAGGCAAUGAACACUGGGUGUUUGUUGGGAUGAACACUGGGCGUUGUACAUAAGUAAUGAAUUACGGGAGUCUACUCCUGAAGCCAAGACCACACUGUAUAUAGCUAACUUGACAAUAAACUAUUAAAAAAAAAGAGAGAGAAGGAAACCAGGGAGCUGGAGUCUAUUGAGGAGAAGGAGGGUGGUUGGAGAUGUGGGAGACAGGGUCUUGUAGUUCACAUAGGCGUUCAUAUGCCGUGAUAGGCAAAGAGGUGGUAUUUUAUCUGAGUGUUGGAAAGGCAUUGGGGAUUUUUUUAAAUGUUUAUUUGUUUAUUUUAAGGGAGAGAGAGUGCACUCAAGCAGGGGAGGGGCAGAGAGAGAGGGAGAGAGAAUCCCAAGCAUGCCCCACGCUGUCUGUGCAGAGUCCCAUGUAGGGCUCGAACUCACGAACCGUGUGAGAUCAUGACCUGAGCCGAAGUCGGGAGUCAGAGACUCAACCAACUGAGCCACUCGGGUGCCCCUAGCUCACUAGAAACCAGGUGUGUUUCUUUUAAUAGAAUUGAAACCAUGUUAUCCAGUGGGAUGAUCAGUUGGUAAUCAGAGAAGUCCAUUAAGACGGGAACUCAUGAGAAACGAAUCGGAGGAGGACACUGAGGCCCAGAAAGUUUAUGCAUUCUGUCCAAGACUUCACGGAUCCUAGCUGAUUGAGCUGGGAUUUGAACUCUGCUCUCGACGCUAUUGGGAACGAAGCUUUGCUUGGAAGAAAUGAAUAGCAGACAAGACCGCUGUGGUAGGCAGAACCCUCAACAUGGCCCCUCUACAUGACCACACCCUAGUCCCCACAACCUGUGACUCUGUUACCUUCCAUGGCAAAGGGACUUGGCAGAUGUGGUUAAGAUUCUUGAGACGGGGGGAUUAUUCGGGGUUAUCCUGGUGGGCCCCAUGUAAGAACAUGAGUCCUUCAGAGCGUGAGCGGGAGGGAGAGGACCAUGUCAGAGCAGGCUGGCUCUGAUGGUAGAGGAAGGAGGCCAUCAGCAGUGGCCUCCAGAGCUCCGAGUGGCCUUCAGUUGACAGCGAGGCAGAAAAUGGGAACUGUGUCCUCCACCUCAAGGAGCCCAGUUCUGUCACAGCCAGUGAGCAGGAGGCAGAUUUCUCCCUCGGAGCCUCCAUGGGGAACAAAGCCAGCUGACGCCUUGAUUUUAGCCCAGUGAGACCCGUGCCGGAACUUUGAACUCUGGAAACGAUGAGAGAGUAUGUUUGUGCUGUUUUAAGCCACUGAGUUUGUGGUCAUUUCUCAGGGAAGCCACGGAAAGUUCAUCGGGUCACUUCUCUGAAGGACCUCUCAGAAACAGGCCGCGUCCCUCCCACACUGUAGGGGAAGGGGCAGGCCCUGGUGUGGCAGCGGAAGGGAGAGGGCGUCGCCUACUAAUGCCAAGCUACCCUGGUUCCUCUGCAGCCCACACAGGAGCGGGUAGCCCCUGGGGUGUGUAACGAGGCCAGUGCUCAGCCGGCUUUGGAAUCACAAACCAGGCGUAGGUCUGGCAUCGCCACUUCCCAGUGUGGGGCCCUGGCGAGAAAAUGGCCUCUCAGAGCCUAAGUUUCUUCCAAUGUAAACACUCUGAAAAUUACUCCAAGAACAUCUACUCUCAGGGCCCUCGAGAUAACUGGGGGUGAAGGGAACCCAUCAGGUACCAAGAGUGGCUAUGGGAGAGAUGAUUUUUAUUGCCGUCAAUUCUAUCUUCCUGGCUUUUUUUUUUUCUUCGUGUUCCUUUUUCCCUCUGAAUCUUACAACAUCACUGAGAAGCUAGGUCAUUAGUACUUUUCAGUGACCCUCAGCCCCUGCACACAAGUAGAUGGAGAACUGGAUUUGGGGUCUGGGGGAUUCAGCUCCGGAUCCUGGUGCUCCCAUGUCUGAGGCAUGUGGUGGCAUCCUGGGUCAUCUCCUGGGAAAUGUACGGAUGAUAACAUUUAUGUCCUUGGCGGGUCCCAAGUGUUGGAUGGUCAGAACCCCACUCUGGUACCUGGCACAACUUCGUGCUCAGGAAAUGGCAACUGGAAACAGGCACUGAGUUGAGCUGGCUGUAAACAGGUGACCUCGGCCACCGCAGACUCUGGGCUUUUGUGUGCACUUGACCAAGUGCAGUACACAAAUACUUCUGGGCAUUGGACGAGGGACUUAGCCCUUUGGGUGCCAGGAUGUAUAAAUAUUCAUGCCACUACCCCCUUCCUGCCCCCCUGCUUGGGAAUAAGAUGAAAACCGUCCCUAAGUGGGAGUGGGGUGCCUAACACUGUUCGCAGAGAGACACUGCACUCUGUGGUUGAAGUUCCCCUCCUAACCGUGUGCCGUUAGCCCUGUUGGUCUCGCAGGGUCUCCCAUCUCUUCUGUGGCUCCUUCCAGUGUGGAGCCUAGUGCUGACACACAACAACCAAGAUCAUAAUACUACCCAGCUGUUGUCAAAGCACUUGGAACUGGCUCACACAUGGCUGGUUCGGUCUGGUGUUUCAUGAUAAGCAAACUAAAACCCAAGUUCAGUGACUCAUCCAGGGUUACUCGGGCAGUAAGUGACAGAGCUGACUCAGCAGAGUGACUCAGCGCCAUGUCGUUCCCUCCAUGCUCUGUUGACAGCCAUGUGUGUGCUUGGCGAUCGUGCUUAUGGUCCCAGGAAGGAUUCCAGCCCUUGAGACCCCUCGAGGUCCCCAGGUGAGGCUAGGUGCCUGGGCGUCGGGCCCAGCCCUGUCCCUGUUGGUCACCCUAGUUCUUGGCCUGUGCAAGGGAGGGACUACAGGGAAAGUGCUUUGUUGGCCUGAAGUGUUCCUUUUACACCCUUGAACUUGAGGGUCCUGCUUCCCAGUCUCAGGAAUAACCACCACGAAUCCCUCUGAUUCAUGGCCAGAGCCGUGCUGUCCACGAAACAUCGUGCCUGCCCUCAGAGUGAUUUAACCUCCACCCAAACCACCUGUAUCUGGGAGCCAGCUAGCCCGAGCCCUUUCCCAGCACAUGCGUCCAGUGGGCGUCUUCCUGUCAUACCAGCACAGAUGAGAACCACUGGUGACGCUCUGUGCCCAUGGCCAGAAACUCUGCUAUUAGCUUGACGAUGGUGAUUACACAGGAAGUAGAAGGGUGGAUACCUUUCAAGUCCUUGCUACAUGUGCCACCUUAUUCCAGUCUUUAUAAUGAUCCCACAAAGCCAGUAUUUAUGCACCUGCUCCAAAGCAUGGAAUCAGGGAGGCCAUGUAACUUGCCAGAGGUCACUGGCUUGGAGUGGGGAGGACUCAGACCCGGGGUGGUGCCUCUGGGCUGCAUGCCCCCCAUCAGCUCAUGCCCCUGGCAGUGCUCUUGAGCUGACUCCACUCUUCAAUUCACUGCGUGUCUCUGGGUAAGUCAGGAAACAUCUCUGGACUUCGUUUCCUUCAUCUGUAGAAUUAGAAUUGGCUCUUGUGAUAAUCUGUGGCCGACUACAAGGUUAGAGAGUACAGUCUCCACACAAGACCACGCUUACCUCUGACACCAAGUGCAAAUUCAAGGGCCUCCCCAAACCACUCUCAGGCUUGAUUAUUCUCUAGAAAGACUCACAGACCUCACUGAAAACUGCUAGACUCAUGGUUACAUCAUACAGGG